GACGAACGCUGGCGGCGUGCCUAACACAUGCAAGUCGAACGGGACCGGGGGCAACUCCGGUUCAGUGGCGGGACGGGUGCGUAACACGUGAGGAACAUGACAUUCGGCGGGGGAGUAGCCGGCCCAACGGCCGGGUAAUACCGCGUACGACCUUUCGGGGACGAUCCCCGGCUGGUGAAAGCAGCAAUGCGCCGAAUGAGUGCCUCGCGGCCUAUCAGCUAGUUGGUGGGGUAACGGCCCACCAAGGCGACGACGGGUAGCU
rnacentral:rRNA from 1 species